GGCCCGCUAGCUCAAUUGGCAGAGCAACUGACUCUUAAUCAGUAGGUUCCCGGUUCAAGUCCGGGGCGGGUCACCA
rnacentral:tRNA from 1 species